rnacentral:rRNA from 1 species
GAUAUGUAAUGUGAAUUGCAGAUUUUCCGUGAAUCAUCGAAUCUUUGAACGCACCUUGCGCUCCUUGGUAUUCCAAGGAGCAUGCCUGUUUGAGUGUCAU